rnacentral:tRNA from 1 species
GAUUGUGGCUCAGUGGUAGAGCGCUUGCCCCACACAUAUGAGGCUCUGGAUUCGAUCCUCAGCACCACAUCA